rnacentral:rRNA from 1 species
AGAGUUUGAUCAUGGCUCAGGACGAACGCUGGCGGCGUGCCUAAUACAUGCAAGUCGAGCGGACCGACGGGAGCUUGCUCCCUUAGGUCAGCGGCGGACGGGUGAGUAACACGUGGGUAACCUGCCUGUAAGACUGGGAUAACUCCGGGAAACCGGGGCUAAUACCGGAUGCUUGAUUGAACCGCAUGGUUCCAAUCAUAAAAGGUGGCUUUUAGCUACCACUUACAGAUGGACCCGCGGCGCAUUAGCUAGUUGGUGAGGUAACGGCUCACCAAGGCGACGAUGCGUAGCCGACCUGAGAGGGUGAUCGGCCACACUGGGACUGAGACACGGCCCAGACUCCUACGGGAGGCAGCAGUAGGGAAUCUUCCGCAAUGGACGAAAGUCUGACGGAGCAACGCCGCGUGAGUGAUGAAGGUUUUCGGAUCGUAAAACUCUGUUGUUAGGGAAGAACAAGUACCGUUCGAAUAGGGCGGCACCUUGACGGUACCUAACCAGAAAGCCACGGCUAACUACGUGCCAGCAGCCGCGGUAAUACGUAGGUGGCAAGCGUUGUCCGGAAUUAUUGGGCGUAAAGCGCGCGCAGGCGGUUUCUUAAGUCUGAUGUGAAAGCCCCCGGCUCAACCGGGGAGGGUCAUUGGAAACUGGGGAACUUGAGUGCAGAAGAGGAGAGUGGAAUUCCACGUGUAGCGGUGAAAUGCGUAGAGAUGUGGAGGAACACCAGUGGCGAAGGCGACUCUCUGGUCUGUAACUGACGCUGAGGCGCGAAAGCGUGGGGAGCGAACAGGAUUAGAUACCCUGGUAGUCCACGCCGUAAACGAUGAGUGCUAAGUGUUAGAGGGUUUCCGCCCUUUAGUGCUGCAGCAAACGCAUUAAGCACUCCGCCUGGGGAGUACGGUCGCAAGACUGAAACUCAAAGGAAUUGACGGGGGCCCGCACAAGCGGUGGAGCAUGUGGUUUAAUUCGAAGCAACGCGAAGAACCUUACCAGGUCUUGACAUCCUCUGACAACCCUAGAGAUAGGGCUUCCCCUUCGGGGGCAGAGUGACAGGUGGUGCAUGGUUGUCGUCAGCUCGUGUCGUGAGAUGUUGGGUUAAGUCCCGCAACGAGCGCAACCCUUGAUCUUAGUUGCCAGCAUUCAGUUGGGCACUCUAAGGUGACUGCCGGUGACAAACCGGAGGAAGGUGGGGAUGACGUCAAAUCAUCAUGCCCCUUAUGACCUGGGCUACACACGUGCUACAAUGGGCAGAACAAAGGGCAGCGAAGCCGCGAGGCUAAGCCAAUCCCACAAAUCUGUUCUCAGUUCGGAUCGCAGUCUGCAACUCGACUGCGUGAAGCUGGAAUCGCUAGUAAUCGCGGAUCGGCAUGCCGCGGUGAAUACGUUCCCGGGCCUUGUACACACCGCCCGUCACACCACGAGAGUUUGUAACACCCGAAGUCGGUGAGGUAACCUUUUGGAGCCAGCCGCCGAAGGUGGGACAGAUGAUUGGGGUGAAGUCGUAACAAGGUAACCG